UAGGGGAGCGUUCUGUAAGCCGUUGAAGGUGUACUGUGAGGUAUGCUGGAGGUAUCAGAAGUGCGAAUGCUGACAUAAGUAACGAUAAUGCGGGUGAAAAACCCGCACGCCGGAAGACCAAGGGUUCCUGUCCAACGUUAAUCGGGGCAGGGUGAGUCGACCCCUAAGGCGAGGCCGAAAGGCGUAGUCGAUGGGAAACAGGUUAAUAUUCCUGUACUUGGUGUUACUGCGAAGGGGGGACGGAGAAGGCUAUGUUAGCCGGGCGACGGUUGUCCCGGUUUAAGCAUGUAGGCGGAGGUUCCAGGUAAAUCCGGUACCUUAUUAACGCUGAGGUGUGAUGACGAGGCACUACGG
rnacentral:rRNA from 1 species